UCUCUCUCUUUCCCCCAAAUCGCGACUAACCUCUCUUUCUCUCUUUCCCCGCUGCAAUUUGCUGGCCGCCGCUAUCCAAGCCCCACGCCGCCGAUUCUCCUGUCUCCCUGACUCUCUUUUCCUGCGCAGCAAAUCAGUUCUGUCACGUCCUGCGCCACCUCCAGGCUCCGACGCUUAGCCUCUUCUCUUCUCGCCGCCUCCGACUCUGGCAACCUUCAAAUUGUUGGUCUCAGAAAAUUAAAUCCUCGAAGACUCUGAAAUGCCUUGGGUAUAGUCUUUGACAUUCAAUAUCCGAACCAUCUCACACCAAUCUCUCCUUCUUCGCAACCAUCGAUUGGUGCUUUUGUGCCAUGGACUCCACCUAACUGGGCAAAGUCCAUGGAUUAGUCGCUGGUGGUGGUGAGGAUAGAGCUGUUGAAUGCUUUGAUACGAGGACUAAGUCAUCAGUUGGUCGAUUAGAUGUUGUCGCUGUUGCUGGUGAUAGUGAUGCGGAGGUUACGGCAGUUGAAUUUGAUGGAGAUGGGGUUUUCUCAUGGCUGUUGGAAGCAGUGCUGGGAAGAGCAGAGGAAUCACUCGGGUCAGAGGAAUCGCUGAGGUCAGAGGAAUGCUCCACUCACAGACAGUCAACGGUAGAAAUGACCAUUUUACUCGGGAAGCGUCAGAGCAGAGGAAUUAUCUGUUCGCAGAGGAAUCCAAAACCCCCCGAUACACAUAGUUCUCUGCCUCUGAGCAGAGGAAUGAGCGAAGGCAGACGAAAUUACCAUAGUACCCCUGGCCACGCGGGGAAUGUGACUUCAAGACUGAAAUUACUAUUUUACCCAUAAAGUGUAUUCUAUAAAUACCCAUGCACUUGUACCAUGUAAGGAGACACACGCGCUUUCUCAAUACAACGACAAACUCUUUUUUGUUCUCGGUAAUUCAAUUUCACUCAACUCUCUU